rnacentral:tRNA from 1 species
GGCGGACGUAGCCAAGUGGAUUAAG